UGCCUGGUGAGAUUGUGUGUCCUGAUGUA
rnacentral:piRNA from 1 species